rnacentral:lncRNA from 1 species
AUACGAUCUAGCGUAUGGUCCAUUCUGAUCCUUUAUCCCCAACAGCAUAUGACACACUCCGACUCCCCAGCGAAGUCGGCAGCCUAAUGGAUGACUCAUUAUUCGGUCUAAUGUACGACCCAGUGUGGCAUCCAUGUCUUCAAAUUGGCCUAAUGUACGGCUCGAUCUGAAGCUUUCGUCAUCAAACCUCCCGGAUGGCAUCUUUAAGCCCAUCUCCAUCAAGACCAACUGUCGAUCCUCAAGUGCAA